rnacentral:tRNA from 1 species
AGCAGCGUGGCUCAGUGGAAAGAGCCGGGGCUUGGGAGUCAGAGGUCACGGGUUCGAAUCCCGGCUCUGCCA